AUUGAACGCUGGCGGCAGGCCUAACACAUGCAAGUCGAGCGAGCGGCGGACGGGUGAGUAAUGUAUGGGGACUUCCCGAUAGAGGGGGAUAAAUACUGGAAACGGUAGCUAAUACCGCAUAUUAUCGGCAUACCCAGAGGGGAUUAGCUAGUAGGUGAGGUAAUGGCUCACCCAGGCGACGAUCCCUAGCUGGUCUGAGAGGAUGAUCAGCCACACUGGGACGGAGACACGGCCCAGACUCCUACGGAGGCAGCAGUGGGGAAUAUUGCACAAUGGGCGAAAGCCUGAUGCAGCCAUGCCGCGUGUAUGAAGAAGGCCCUAGGGUUGUAAAGUACUUUCAGUCGGGAGGCGUUACCGACAGAAGAAGCACCGGCUAACUCCGUGCCAGCAGCCGCGGUAAUAC
rnacentral:rRNA from 1 species